GAUGAACGCUGGCGGCGUGCCUAACACAUGCAAGUCGAGCGAACGGACGUGAAUCUUGCUUUUCUGGAGUUAGCGGCGGAUGGGUGACUAACACGUGGAUAACCCAUCUAUAAGACUGGGCUUACUUCGGGAAACCGGAGCUAAUACCGGAUAAUCUUUUGAACCGCAUGGUUCUAAAGUGAUACACGGUUUUGCUGUCACUUAUAGAUGGAUCCGCGCUGCAUUAGCUAGUUGGUAUGGUAACGGCUUACCAAGGCAACGAUGCAUAGCCGACCUGCGGGGGUGAACGGCCACACGGGAAGUGAGACACGGUCCAGACACCGACGGGGGGCAGCGGUAGGGAAUCGUCCGCGAUGGGCGAAAGCCUGACGGAGCAGCGCCGGGUGAAUGAUGAAGGUCUUCGGAUCGGAAAACGCUGUUAUGGGUGAAGAACAUAUGUGUAAGUAACUGUGCACAGCUUGACGGUACCUAAUCAGAAAGCCACGGCUAACUACGUG
rnacentral:rRNA from 1 species